rnacentral:rRNA from 1 species
UGCCUUACACAUGCAAGUCGAACGGCAGCACGGACUUCGGUCUGGUGGCGAGUGGCGAACGGGUGAGUAAUACAUCGGAACGUGCCUGGUAGUGGGGGAUAACUACUCGAAAGAGUGGCUAAUACCGCAUGAGAUCUCAGGAUGAAAGCAGGGGAUCGCAAGACCUUGUGCUACUAGAGCGGCCGAUGGCAGAUUAGGUAGUUGGUGGGAUAAAAGCUUACCAAGCCAACGAUCUGUAGCUGGUCUGAGAGGACGAUCAGCCACACUGGGACUGAGACACGGCCCAGACUCCUACGGGAGGCAGCAGUGGGGAAUUUUGGACAAUGGGCGAAAGCCUGAUCCAGCAAUGCCGCGUGCAGGAUGAAGGCCUUCGGGUUGUAAACUGCUUUUGUACGGAACGAAAAGCUUCGGGUUAAUACCCUGGAGUCAUGACGGUACCGUAAGAAUAAGCACCGGCUAACUACGUGCCAGCAGCCGCGGUAAUACGUAGGGUGCAAGCGUUAAUCGGAAUUACUGGGCGUAAAGCGUGCGCAGGCGGUUUUGUAAGACAGAGGUGAAAUCCCCGGGCUCAACCUGGGAACUGCCUUUGUGACUGCAAGGCUAGAGUACGGCAGAGGGGGAUGGGANUCCGCGUGUAGCAGUGAAAUGCGUAGAUAUGCGGAAGAACACNGAUGGCGAAGCCA